rnacentral:rRNA from 1 species
GGGAUAACACCUGGAAGCAGAUGCUAAUACCGGAUAACAACACUAGACGCAUGUCUAGAGUUUGAAAGAUGGUUCUGCUAUCACUCUUGGAUGGACCUGCGGUGCAUUAGCUAGUUGGUAAGGUAACGGCUUACCAAGGCAAUGAUGCAUAGCCGAGUUGAGAGACUGAUCGGCCACAUUGGGACUGAGACACGGCCCAAACUCCUACGGGAGGCAGCAGUAGGGAAUCUUCCACAAUGGACGAAAGUCUGAUGGAGCAACGCCGCGUGAGUGAAGAAGGGUUUCGGCUCGUAAAGCUCUGUUGGUAGUGAAGAAAGAUAGAGGUAGUAACUGGCCUUUAUUUGACGGUAAUUACUUAGAAAGUCACGGCUAACUACGUGCCAGCAGCCGCGGUAAUACGUAGGUGGCAAGCGUUGUCCGGAUUUAUUGGGCGUAAAGCGAGUGCAGGCGGUUCAAUAAGUCUGAUGUGAAAGCCUUCGGCUCAACCGGAGAAUUGCAUCAGAAACUGUCGAACUUGAGUGCAGAAGAGGAGAGUGGAACUCCAUGUGUAGCGGUGGAAUGCGUAGAUAUAUGGAAGAACACCAGUGGCGAAGGCGGCUCUCUGGUCUGCAACUGACGCUGAGGCUCGAAAGCAUGGGUAGCGAACAGGAUUAGAUACCCUGGUAGUCCAUGCCGUAAACGAUCAGU